UAGGGAAUCUUCCACAAUGGGCGCAAGUCUGAUGGAGCAACGCCGCGUGUGUGAUGAAGGCUUUCGGGUCGUAAAGCACUGUUGUAUGGGAAGAAAUGCUAGAAUAGGGAAUGAUUCUAGUUCGACGGUACCAUACCAGAAAGGGACGGCUAAAUACGUGCCAG
rnacentral:rRNA from 1 species